AUCUACUUGCAAUGCUAUGCAGAGCCCCAGAAAACAUGAAUUGUAUGUAGUUCUGAGGACUGAGUUUGAGAACUUUUGCUACAGAUGUGAUAAUGACAGAACUACACUUGAAGUGAUGUACAGUAUACGGACACCCCCAGGGGCAAAACUCUGGGAGGCAGUGGAGUCGGCUGCCGCCGGGCUCCUGCCCUCAAGGGGGCACAUCUCCUCCAUUGUCUCCAGCUGACUGACCCUGGCGAUCAUUUGCUGCGAGGAGCUUUCGAGUCAGUGACACAGAAGCUGCCUCCUCAUAUAUACAGAGAGCUGUCUGUGGCUGCAGCUAGGGGGAGCUCCAGAGUGCAGCUCCUGCCAGGCCCUUCCAGUUGAGUUGGCCGAGUGAAGCUCCCUGUUCCUCCGUUGGGCUGUUAGCAGCAGAGAUACCCCUGAUGAAGUCUUUUGUAUAAGACGAAACGCGUUGGGUUGUCUGUGUUGUGAAGCUAUCUCCGAACCAACUAUAAGGAGAAGGAAGAGAUUGUUGUGAUCCUUCAACAUUUGUAUUCAGCGCUAAGAGUCAUACAUCUUAAAGUGUGGAAUAAUAUAUCUCCUGUGUAUUAAUUUGAAUAUGUUUUUAAUAAAUGUUUUAUGAUGGAA